ACGCUCGACACCUACGGGGGCAGCAGUGGGGAAUAUUGCACAAUGGAGGAAACUCUGAUGCAGCGAUGCCGCGUGAGGGAAGAAGGUUUUCGGAUUGUAAACCUCUGUCUUUGGGGACGAUAAUGACGGUACCCAAGGAGGAAGCUCCGGCUAACUACGCNCNNNCGCGUAGUAUNGNGGCGNGNGAGAG
rnacentral:rRNA from 1 species